UACGUAGGGGGCGAGCGUUGUCCGGAUUUAUUGGGUUUAAAGGGUGCGUAGGCGGCCCUAUAAGUCAGUGGUGAAAUAUCGCAGCUUAACUGUGAGGGUGCCAUUGAUACUGUAGGGCUUGAGUGAAUUUGAGGUAGGCGGAAUUGACGGUGUAGCGGUGAAAUGCUUAGAUAUCGUCAAGAACACCGAUAGUGAAGACAGCUUACCAAGCUUCAACUGACGCUGAGGCACGAAAGUGUGGGGAUCAAACAGG
rnacentral:rRNA from 1 species